rnacentral:lncRNA from 1 species
ACACGGACCCCACGAGCGCGGCGGCGGCGACAGCAGCGGGCCAGGCAAGAGCACAACAUGGCGGCGGGCAGGACGGACCGAGCUACAGCAGCGGCCGCGCGAGGAAGUGAGGUCUCUGGCGAAGGCGGGAAGCGCUGCCCCUCCCCCCGCCGCCGCUUCCCUAUCACCCUCGCACAGAAACUCCCGCACACUCACACACCUCUGCUCAGGAGUCCAGGAAGAGCAGGAGCCGCCCCCGCGCUCCUACGGAGUCGGGCAAUGCAGAGGCCCAGGCGCGGCGGAGGGGAGGGGGAAGUGUGCGUCACGGAGAACGGAGCGCGCGCGAAGCGGGGGCACAAGCAAGAUGGCGGCCACGCCGUUUGCACCGUUUCCCCUUUUCCCUUCCCCCUCCCUUGGCGCCUGGACUCCCAGUAUCGUGCGGUGCGCAGAAGCUGUGCUCCUUGAGGUCUCGCGAGAAUUGGGAAGGGGCGACGACAGAGGGAGGCGGAAUGAGAUCUGAGAGUUUUAACCCCGCCCCCUUUCGGGAGCUCGAGAUCUGAGUUUUGACCCCGCCCCCUUUCGGGGGAUCCGGAGGCGCUGCCCAGUGACCUCCACCACCCUGCCUAUCCUUGUGGAUCUCCUUGGUGCGAGCUUGAAUUUUAGGAAAUAAGUAGGUGUGUGCGCGUGCCCUUGAGUUUUAGGAACUAAGUAGGGGCGUGUGUGUGUAUUUGUGUUUUUAAUUUGGGGAGAAAGAACUGGGGGAUGAAGGUCGACAUGGCGUUCCAGAUUAAGCAUGCCGUUCAAGUAGACAGCUACUGGCACCUUAAAUUCAUAAAAGAGCAUUUAGCACCAAACUGUAAAGUGAUGUCCUCUAGAAUAAAGAACAGUACUUACCAAGA